rnacentral:misc_RNA from 1 species
CAGAGUUGCAAAACUCCCAAACCCUUUGUGAACAUACCUAUCGUUGCUUCGGCAGGAAGCCCCAGGGCGGGGCUGUAGCCUUUUAGGCGCCUGCCGGAGGUUUUUAAACUCUGUAUUACUGGUCUUCUGAGCAAAAACAAAAAUAAGUCA